rnacentral:rRNA from 1 species
AUUGAACGCUGGCGGCAUGCCUAACACAUGCAAGUCGAACGGGGGUAGCAAUACCCUAGUGGCGGACGGGUGAGGAAUACGUAGGAAUUUGCCCUUAAGUGGGGGAUAACCCGGGGAAACCCGGACUAAUACCGCAUGAUCUCGUGAGAGCAAAGCAGGGGACCGCAAGGCCUUGCGCUUUUGGAGAAGCCUACGUCGGAUUAGCUAGUUGGUGGGGUAAUGGCCCACCAAGGCUACGAUCCGUAACUGGUCUGAGAGGAUGAUCAGUCACACCGGAACUGAGACACGGUCCGGACUCCUACGGGAGGCAGCAGUGGGGAAUAUUGGACAAUGGGCGAAAGCCUGAUCCAGCAAUGCCGCGUGUGUGAAGAAGGCCUUCGGGUUGUAAAGCACUUUAGGCUGGAAAGAAAAAGCUUUGGCUAAUAUCCAAAGCCUUGACGGUACCAGCAGAAUAAGCACCGGCUAACUCUGUGCCAGCCGCCGCGGUAAAAC